UAGGGAAUCUUCCACAAUGGACGAAAGUCUGAUGGAGCAACGCCGCGUGAGUGAAGAAGGGUUUCGGCUCGUAAAGCUCUGUUGGUAGUGAAGAAAGAUAGAGGUAGUAACUGGCCUUUAUUUGACGGUAAUUACUUAGAAAG
rnacentral:rRNA from 1 species